rnacentral:rRNA from 1 species
AGCAGCCGCGGUAAUUCCAGCUCCAAUAGCGUAUAUUAAAGUUGUUGCAGUUAAAAAGCUCGUAGUUGAAUUUCGGGGUUAGUAAGUUGGUCAUGCCUUCGGUAUGUACUGGCUUUACUGAUUCCUCCUUCUUGACGAACCGUGAUGUCAUUAAUUUGAUGUUGCGGGAAAUCAGGACUGUUACUUUGAAAAAAUUAGAGUGUUUAAAGCAGGCUAACGCUUGAAUACAUUAGCGUGGAAUAAUGAAAUAGGACGUUAAUCCUAUUUUGUUGGUUUCUAGGAUCGACGUAAUGAUUAAUAGGGAUAGUUGGGGGCAUUAGUAUUCAAUUGUCAGAGGUGAAAUUCUUGGAUUUAUUGAAGACUAACUACUGCGAAAGCAUUUGCCAAGGAUGUUUUCAUUAAUCAAGAACGAAAGUUAGGGGAUCGAAGACGAUCAGAUACCGUCGUAGUCUUAACCAUAAACUAUGCCGACUAGGGAUCGGAUGAUGUUAUUUUUAAUGACUCA